rnacentral:rRNA from 1 species
AUACGGAGGGUGCGAGCGUUAAUCGGAAUUACUGGGCGUAAAGCGUGCGUAGGCGGUUGAUUAAGUCAGAUGUGAAAGCCCCGGGCUCAACCUGGGAACUGCAUUUGAAACUGGUCAACUGGAGUAUGGUAGAGGGGGGUAGAAUUUCUGGUGUAGCGGUGAAAUGCGUAGAUAUCAGAAGGAAUACCGAUGGCGAAGGCAGCCCCCUGGACCAAUACUGACGCUGAGGUACGAAAGCGUGGGGAGCAAACAGGAUUAGAAACCCCGGUAGUCC